AUCGCUUCUCGGCCUUUUGGCUAAGAUCAAGUGUAGUAUCUGUUCUUAUCAGUUUAAUGAUGCUUAUUUUAAUUCUGUUUUGGUCAGAGAAUAUGCUUUGUGUUAUUUUAAUAAUUUCAAAUUUAUUGAGACUGGUUUUAUGGUCCAUAAUAUGGUCUAUCAUGU
rnacentral:snRNA from 1 species